AAUCAACGCUGGCGGCGUGCCUCAGACAUGCAAGCCGAACGAUUAAAGCUCUCUUCGGAGAGUGUAUAGAGUGGCGCACGGGUGAGUAACACGUAAGUAAUCUACCUUCGAGUGGGGAAUAACGUCCGGAAACGGACGCUAAUACCGCAUAAUGCAGCGGCAUCGCAAGAUGACAGUUGUUAAAGAUUUAUCGCUUGAAGAGGAGCUUGCGGCAGAUUAGCUAGUUGGUAAGGUAAUGGCUUACCAAGGCUACGAUCUGUAACCGGUCUAAGAGGACGGUCGGUCACACUGACACUGAAUAACGGGUCAGACUCCUACGGGAGGCAGCAGUCGGGAAUUUUGGGCAAUGGGCGAAAGCCUGACCCAGCAACGCCGCGUGAAGGAUGAAGUAUUUCGGUAUGUAAACUUCGAAAGAAUGGGAAGAAUAAAUGACGGUACCAUUUAUAAGGUCCGGCUAACUACGUGCCAGCCGCCGCA
rnacentral:rRNA from 1 species